AAAUCAUUGAUGCAGUGUAACAGUAGUUACGGUACUAACAUGUCACUUUUUUAAUGUGACAUCAUUUGUGUAACAUUUGAACAGUUCAUGUAAAUGAACCAUGUGCAUUUUCUUAUUUUUUUAUUAGUUGUAAUUGGUGUAAUAUUGAAAAUAAUACUUUCAGUUGUUCUUUAAUACAUAUUAGGUAUCACUUUACAAAAAGAACCCUUUAGUUGAUGAUACAUUUGUUACAGUAUUUAUUAGUCUCUGCUGACAUUAGUUAAUUAAAAUGCAUCUGUUUUUGCUUAAAACAAUGACAAAUAUCUGCCAGUGUGUUCAGAAAAAUAAGUUUGCUUUCCCUUUGAACGAAGUUGAUUUUUCUGACACCGUUGGAGGAUUUUUGGUCUCGUUUUAAGAGAAAACAAGUCUAAGAUCUAAGGAUUUCCUCAUGUUCUUGUGACAGAUGACUAACUCUGUUGAUAAUAAUUAAUUAUGAUCUGAUAUUUCAAAAAAAGAAAAUGGAAAGAGAAAACUAGCACAAGAAUAGUUUGUAUGUAACUACUGUAGGAGUCAGUAGACUCAUUGAACACUUUACUGCAGUUUCUCCAGCGGUUUGAGAAGCAGCUCAAUUUCACUUCAGUUAAAUCUCUUUAUUGGACAUUUCUGGUUGAGUUAAGCCUUAUCUGCACCCUAUAGGACAUCAGGUCGGAUAUUGAAUGGAUUUGACUAUUAAAUGAUAGACAGCAGAGAGAGCGGAUCGAUUCUGGACAGGUUUCUGAUUACGGCUUUCCUGAACUUCUGAGAAGGUCCAUAAGCUGCUUAACAUAAACCCACACAGACUUCAGACAGACUGCCACACUGUGAAAUCAAAGUCUUCUGAAGAGCUCCGAGAGUCUGUAAUGUACAGAUGCAUCCGUAUCGGAGCCAAACAGACGGUAAACGGGACAAAAGCCACCUGGAGAACUUCUCAAAGGAGGAAUAGAAGAAAGUUUAGCAAACUUGAGGAAACACUUGAGCUUGCUGUGAGUCAGAAGCACCAGACAGUCCUUGCAAAGUUGGAAAUAAGGAACGGAUGGCGGGCUGAGUGAGCAGAG
ensembl:lncRNA